CUACGGGAGGCAGCAGUGAGGAAUAUUGCACAAUGGGGGAAACCCUGAUGCAGCAACGCCGCGUGGAGGAUGACGCAUUUCGGUGUGUAAACUCCUUUUAUCGGAGAAGAAAAUGACGGUAUCUGAUGAAUAAGCUCCGGCUAACUCCGUGCCAGCAGCCGCGGUAAUACGGAGGGAGCAAGCGUUAUUCGGAAUCACUGGGCGUAAAGGACGCGUGGGCGGGUUUUUAAGUCAGGUGUGAAAUCCUAUGGCUCAACCAUAGAACUGCACUUGAAACUGGGGACCUAGAGUAUGGAAGGGGCAGGUGGAAUUAGUGGUGUAGGGGUAAAAUCCGUAGAUAUCACUAGGAAUACCGAAAGCGAAGGCGACCUGCUGGGACAUUACUGACGCUGAGGCGUGAAAGCGUGGGGAGCAAACAGGAUUAGAUACCCGGGUAGUC
rnacentral:rRNA from 1 species